rnacentral:rRNA from 1 species
GCUAGUUGAGCGUCUCUUGCUAUGGUGAGACGCGGCGAACAGCUCAGUAACACGUGGCCAACCUGCCCUUGGGACGGGGACAACCCCGGGAAACUGGGGCUAAUAUCCGAUAAGUGAGAAAAUCUGGAAUGAUUUCUUGCUGAAAGGGUUUCUAGACCAUGCUUUUAGAUGUCGCCCAAGGAGGGGGCCGCGGCCGAUCAGGUUGUUGGCGGGGUAACGGCUCACCAAGCCUUUGACCGGUACGGGCCGUGAGAGCGGGAGCCCGGAGAUGGACAAUGAGAUAAGGGUCCAGGCCCUACGGGGCGCAGCAGUCGCGAAAACUCCACAAUUCACGAAAGUGUGACGGGGCCAACCCGAGUGCCGUCCGAUAAGGAUGGCUUUUCCUCAGUGUAAGGAGCUGGGGGAAUAAGGAGGGGGCAAGACUGGUGUCAGCCGCCGCGGUAAUACCAGCCCUCCGAGUGGUGGGGACGCUUAUUGGGCCUAAAGCAUUCGUAGCCGGCUGGGCAAGUCCUCCGUUAAAUCCAACGAUUCAAUCGUCGGACUGCGGGGGAUACUGUCUAGCUAGGAGGCGGGAGAGGCCGACGGUAUUUUCGGGGUAGGGGUGAAAUCCUAUAAUCCCGGGAGGACCAUCAGUGGCGAAGGCUGUCGGCUGGAACGCGCUCGACGGUGAGGGAUGAAAGCUGGGGGGAGCGAACCGGAUUAGAUACCCGGGUAGUCCCAGCUGUAAACUCUGCA